rnacentral:rRNA from 1 species
ACUGGUGAGUAACACGUAUGCGACCUGCCCCGGACAGGGGGAUAAACCCGGGAAACUGGGCCUAAUACCCCAUACGCCUUCCCAUCGCAUGGCGGGAAGGUGAAAGAUCCGUCGGUCCGGGAUGGGCAUGCGGCGCAUUAGCUGGUUGGCGGGGCAACGGCCCACCAAGGCGACGAUGCGUAGGGGUUCUGAGAGGAAGGUCCCCCACACUGGUACUGAGACACGGACCAGACUCCUACGGGAGGCAGCAGUGAGGAAUAUUGGUCAAUGGACGCGAGUCUGAACCAGCCAAGUCGCGUGCGGGAUGAAGGCCCUCCGGGUCGUAAACCGCUUUAGCCGGGGAGUAACGUGUGGGACGCGUCCCUCAGUGAGAGUACCCGGAGAAUAAGCAUCGGCUAACUCCGUGCCAGCAGCCGCGGUAAUACGGAGGAUGCGAGCGUUAUCCGGAUUUAUUGGGUUUAAAGGGUGCGCAGGCGGCACGUCAAGUCAGCGGUCAAAAUGCGGCGCUCAACGCCGUACCGCCGUUGAAACUGGCGGGCUCGAGUGCGUGGGAGGAUGGCGGAAUGCGCGGUGUAGCGGUGAAAUGCAUAGAUAUCGCGCAGAACCCCGAUUGCGAAGGCAGCUGUCCAUCACGCCACUGACGCUCAUGCACGAAAGCGUGGGUAUCGAACAGGAUUAGAUACCCUGGUAGUCCACGCGGUAAACGAUGAUAACUAGUUAUCCGGCCUAAUUGCGGGCUGGGUGACCGAGCGAAAGCGUUAAGUUAUCCACCUGGGGAGUACGCCGGCAACGGUGAAACUCAAAUGAAUUGACGG